GGCUCAGUUGGUUAGAAUGCUCAACUUACACCCGUAAGUCCCGAGUUCACUUCCCGCAAG
rnacentral:tRNA from 1 species